GAUGAACGCUGGCGGCGUGCCUAAUACAUGCAAGUCGAGCGAACGGACGAGAAGCUUGCUUCUCUGAUGUUAGCGGCGGACGGGUGAGUAACACGUGGAUAACCUACCUAUAAGACUGGGAUAACUUCGGGAAACCGGAGCUAAUACCGGAUAAUAUUUUGAACCGCAUGGUUCAAAAGUGAAAGACGGUCUUGCUGUCACUUAUAGAUGGAUCCGCGCUGCACUAGCUAGUUGGUAAGGUAACGGCUUACCAAGGCGACGAUGCAUAGCCGACCUGAGAGGGUGAUCGGCCACACUGGAACUGAGACACGGUCCAGACUCCUACGGGAGGCAGCAGUAGGGAAUCUUCCGCAAUGGGCGAAAGCCUGACGGAGCAACGCCGCGUGAGUGAUGAAGGUCUUCGGAUCGUAAAACUCUGUUAUUAGGGAAGAACAUAUGUGUAAGUAACUGUGCACAUCUUGACGGUACCUAAUCAGAAAGCCACGGCUAACUACGUG
rnacentral:rRNA from 1 species